AUACGAGGGGUGCAAGCGUUGUUCGGAAUUACUGGGCGUAAAGGGAGCGUAGGCGGAGAUUCAAGCGGAUUGUACAAUCCCGGGGCCCAACCCCGGCUCUGCAGUCCGAACUGGAUCUCUUGGAUAGUUCAGGGGCAGGCGGAAUUCCUGGUGGAGCGGUGGAAUGCGUAGAGAUCAGGAAGAACACCGAUGGCGAAGGCAGCCUGCUGGGGACUUAUCGACGCUGAGGCUCGAAAGUGCGGGUAGCAAACAGGAUUAGAUACCCUGGUAGUCCGCACCGUAAACGAUGCAUACUGGGUGUCCGGGGGUUCCCCCGGGUACCGUAGCCAACGCGUUAAGUAUGCCGCCUGGGGAGUACGUACGCAAGUAUGAAACUCAAAUGAAUUGACGGGG
rnacentral:rRNA from 1 species